CUUUUCUUCUCUAAUUAUCUGCUGUAAAACCAGUAGAAGAAGCCCUCUUUGAUGCCCAAAAAUUAUCAGCAAAAUCUCUCAAAAGUUCUUUCAAGAAAGGAGGAGAAGAGGGGCUUUGCACAUGGGGUUGUGGGGCAUCCAAGAGUUGGAUGCCCCUCACCUUUUUUUUCUUUUUAGGCGACAAGAAAGAGAGACGCCUCUUGCUUUCAUGCAAGAGAAGAGAAGAGAGCGGGUGUGAGGUUUCUUGGGCGUGAGAUCUUUUUUCUCACGGUGAAGAGAUGUGGUGUGGGGAAUAAAUAUCACAUGGGGUGGUUUUAAGUUGGUUAAGUCCAAUUCCAAAUAAGACUUAAGAUUUUGUUCCAACUCUAACUAACCGUUGGAUCCAAUCCUAGCCAAUUUGAGAAUUAGUUAUAACAAACUAACUAAUUAGGUCCUAGCCCAAUUAUGAAUUCAAUUAGGUCCCAAUUG
rnacentral:lncRNA from 1 species